UGGUUGCGAAAAGAAUUUUAAUUUUUUAAGAGACCGGAGAGAAUUAGCGGUCUCGGGCGACAGGCACAACGGAGAGAAACUAUGUUUGAA
rnacentral:ncRNA from 1 species